GCCUGGCAUAGCGGUACACACCUGUAGUCCCAGCUACUCGGGAGGCUGAUUGCUUGAGCCCAGGAGUUCUGGGCUGUAGUGCCCUAAGCCAAUUGAGUGUCCACAGUAAGUUCAGCAUCAAUGUGGUGACCACUUGGGGGUGGGGGACCACCAGGUUGCCUAAGGAGCGGGGAACUGACCGAAGCUGGAAACAAAGCAGGUCAAAACUCCCAUGCUCAUUAGUAGUUGGGCUCUUGCCCUGUGAAUAACCACUGCACUCCAGCCUGGGCAAUGUAUCGGGAACCU
rfam:Gorilla gorilla gorilla genomic chromosome, chr12, whole genome shotgun sequence